GACGAACGCUGGCGGCGUGCCUAAUACAUGCAAGUCGAACGCUGAAGAGAGGAGCUUGCUCUUCUUGGAUGAGUUGCGAACGGGUGAGUAACGCGUAGGUAACCUGCCUUGUAGCGGGGGAUAACUAUUGGAAACGAUAGCUAAUACCGCAUAACAAUGGAUGACACAUGUCAUUUAUUUGAAAGGGGCAAUUGCUCCACUACAAGAUGGACCUGCGUUGUAUUAGCUAGUAGGUGAGGUAAUGGCUCACCUAGGCGACGAUACAUAGCCGACCUGAGAGGGUGAUCGGCCACACUGGGACUGAGACACGGCCCAGACUCCUACGGGAAGCAGCAGUAGGGAAUCUUCGGCAAGAGGGGCAAACCUGACCGAGCAACGCCGCGUGAGUGAAGAAGGUUUUCGGAUCGUAAAGCUCUGUUGUAAGUCAAGAACGGGUGUGAGAGUGGAAAGUUCACACUGUGACGGUAGCUUACCAGAAAGGGACGGCUAACUACGUG
rnacentral:rRNA from 1 species